rnacentral:rRNA from 1 species
AUUGAACGCUGGCGGCAUGCCUUACACAUGCAAGUCGAACGGCAGCACGGGAGCAAUCCUGGUGGCGAGUGGCGAACGGGUGAGUAAAGUAUCGGAACGUGCCCAGUCGUGGGGGAUAACGUAGCGAAAGUUACGCUAAUACCGCAUACGAUCUAUGGAUGAAAGCGGGGGAUCGCAAGACCUCGCGCGAUUGGAGCGGCCGAUAUCAGAUUAGCUAGUUGGCGGGGUAACGGCCCACCAAGGCGACGAUCCGUAGCUGGUCUGAGAGGACGAUCAGCCACACCGGAACGGAGACACGGUCCGGACUCCUACGGGAGGCAGCAGUGGGGAAUAUUGGACAAUGGGGGAAACCCUGAUCCAGCGACGCCGCGUGGGUGAAGAAGGCCUGCGGGUUGUAAAGCCCUUUCGGUAGGGACGAAAGCUCUUGCUCUAAUAAUGCAAGAGGUUGACUUAACCUACAUAAGAAGCACCGGCUAACUCUGUGCCAGCCGCCGCGGUAA